rnacentral:rRNA from 1 species
AUGAACGCUAGCGAUAGGCUUAACACAUGCCAGUCGCGGGGUAACGUGUUGGAAGCUUGCUUCCGAUGACGACGACCGGCGGAUGGGUGCGUAACGCGUAUGCAACUUGCCUCACAGUGGAGAAUAACCCGGAGAAAUCCGGACUAAUACUCCAUACACUCUUAAGUACGCCUGUACAUGAGAGGAAAGAUUUAUCGCUGUGAGAUAGGCAUGCGUCCUAUUAGGUAGUUGGUGAGGUAACGGCUCACCAAGCCGACGAUAGGUAGGGGUGCUGAGAGGCAGAUCCCCCACAUUGGGACUGAGACACGACCCAAACUCCUACGGGAGGCAGCAGUGAGGAAUAUUGGUCAAUGGAGGAAACUCUGAACCAGCCAAGUCGCGUGAAGGAAGAAUGUCCUAAGGAUUGUAAACUUCUUUAGCGAGCGAGUAAGGACUUCCACGUGAUGGGAGUUUGAAAGUAGCUCGAGAAUAAGUAUCGGCUAACUCCGUG